rnacentral:rRNA from 1 species
CCUACGGGAGGCAGCAGUAGGGAAUCUUCCGCAAUGGACGAAAGUCUGACGGAGCAACGCCGCGUGAACGAUGAAGGCCUUCGGGUCGUAAAGUUCUGUUGUUAGGGAAGAACAAGUGCUAGUUAAAUAAGCUGGCACCUUGACGGUACCUAACCAGAAAGCCACGGCUAACUACGUGCCAGCAGCCGCGGUAAUACGUAGGUGGCAAGCGUUGUCCGGAAUUAUUGGGCGUAAAGCGCGCGCAGGCGGUUUCUUAAGUCUGAUGUGAAAGCCCCCGGCUCAACCGGGGAGGGUCAUUGGAAACUGGGAAACUUGAGUGCAGAAGAGGAAAGUGGAAUUCCAAGUGUAAGCGGUGAAAUGCGUAGAGAUUUGGAGGAACACCAGUGGCGAAGGCGACUUUCUGGUCUGUAACUGACGCUGAGGCGCGAAAGCGUGGGGAGCAAACAGGAUUAGAUACCCUGGUAGUCCACGCUGUAAACGAUGAGUGCUAAGUGUUAGAGGGUUUCCGCCCUUUAGUGCUGAGUUAACGCAUUAAGCNCNCGCGUGGNGACGCGCAGANAGANACAAGAAGUAGAGNGNGAGAGNGCGAGAGACAGAGGAGAG